rnacentral:rRNA from 1 species
UGAAGUUGGCGGUGUGCUUAUGCAUGCAAGUCGAACGGGGAUAUGACUUUCGGGUUAUAUUCUAGUGGCGAACGGCUGAGUAACGCGUAAGUAACCUACCCUCGAGUGGGGAAUAACUUGUCGAAAGGCAAGCUAAUACCGCAUGAAGUAACCAAAAGGUAUGUUUAGUUACCAAAGUCUUCGGAUGCUCGAAGAGGGGCUUGCGUCUGAUUAGCUAGUUGGUGAGGUAAUGGCUCACCAAGGCGAUGAUCAGUAGCUGGUCUGAGAGGAUGGUCAGCCAGAUAGGGACUGAGACACGGCCCUGACCCCUACGGGAGGCAGCAGCAGGGAAUAUUGGACAAUGGGCGAAAGCCUGAUCCAGCGACACCGCGUGAGGGAAGAAGGCCUUCGGGUUGUAAACCUCUUUUCUCUGGGAAGAAAUUUGACGGUACCUGAGGAAUAAGCCUCGGCUAACUACGUGCCAGCAGCCGCGGUAAUACGUAGGAGGCAAGCGUUAUCCGGAUUUACUGGGCGUAAAGCGGGCGCAGGCGGCCUUUCAAGUCGGAUGUAAAAUCUCCCGGCUCAACUGGGAGGGAUCAUUCGAUACUGUUGGGCUAGAGGACAGCAGAGGGAGGUGGAAUUCCCGGUGUAGUGGUGAAAUGCGUAGAUAUCGGGAGGAACACCAGUGGCGAAGGCGGCCUCCUGGGCUGUUUCUGACGCUGAGGCCCAAAAGCGUGGGGAGCGAACAGGAUCAGAUACCCUGGUAGUCCACGCCCUAAACGAUGGACACUAGGUAUGGGGAGUAUUGACCCUUCUCCGUGCCGAAGCUAACGCUUUAAUUCCCGCCUGGGACUACGACCGCAAGGUAAAACUCAAAGAAUUGAGACGG